UUUUUAAUUUUUAUGAGGAAAUUAACAAAACCUUGUAACCCUAGCCACUGGUAGUAGCAGCCACACUAUCUGUUUUUCAUUCCCCUCUUCUCUCUCUCUCGUUCCCUGCCUCCAGAUUCCUUUCAUGAACCCUAACCCAGUAACCCUCUCGCGCAGCCUGAGCCUCCUAUCUCUCUCGCCCGGUCUUCAACUUCAAUCACUCUGUCUCUCUCAAUCUCUCAGGCGACCCGCAACGGCGCGACCCUUCUCACUCUCAAUCUCUCACACCUCGCCCUCGCCGUCAGUCUCUCAUCUCGCCGUCAGCUUUUUCUUGCCGUUUCGAGUCUCGACAGCAAAAGUCUUGAAUCUCAGGCGACCCGCGAGUCCGCGACGGCCCGACCCUUCUCACUCUCAAUCUCUCACACCUCACCCUCGCCGUCAGUCUUUCAUCUCGCUGUGAGCUUCUUCUUGCCGUUUCGAGUCUCGACUGCAAAAGAUGAAGUCAAAGGCGUCAAAGGUCUCAAGGGCCUCAAGCUCAAGUUCAAACUCAAUGAGAUCAAAAUCAAAUAGCCCUCAGGAUCAAACGAACUUUGAAUGUUUAUUUUCAUUGUCUUUGAUUCUAUUAGAAAUUCGGAAUGCUUAUUUUAUCUAUGUUGAAAUGGGACUUUGAUUUUAUUUA